CGUAGCUUAUCUAUGAGUCGUGAUGUCACAAGAUGUCAGCAAAUGGCAAAUAUUUGAUGUCAGUUGAUGUCAGUUUAUUCCUACCCGCUAACAUGAAAGGUCAAGAAGACAGCUGCGAUUGUGCACACCAUUGCACACUGCAUCAGAGGUGAAAACGAAGCUCGCCAGGAGCUGCAGCUGUUCUCCAUGCAGCUGGUGAACAGGAGGAUCCAGCUGACUGCCUGCGGGUUCUUCCCGCUGGACUACACGGCCCUGCUGUCGAUGUUUGGAGCCAUUGUGACGUACCUUGUUAUUUUGGUACAGUUUCUGGUCUCUGCGAACCAAGUUGUUGCUACAAACGGUACUCACACAAACCCAGACACUAUAGUUUGAACUGCUGUUUGGAGCUGAAGUACUGCACGUAGCAGUAUGAUGCCUGAUGCGGGACUCGUGUGCACUUGUAAGGAGAGGCACCGCUGUGUUCUCUGAACUGCAAGUCUAACUGUGCAACUUUAACUAAACUUAACGUGAUACGGUGAAAAAUUCUGAGCUUAUUAAUUGUAUUUUUUUUUCAAAUUUGAAGAAUAAUUGUAAUAAAUAAUAUUAUGAUUCAAGAGAAAACCUUAAUUGUGUUAAUGUACACAACAUUUAAUUUUUUGAAAAAUAAAAAUAAAUUAUUUUUGAUGUGACAGUUAAAA